GACGAACGCUGGCGGCGUGCCUAAUACAUGCAAGUCGAACGCUUCUUUCCUCCCGAGUGCUUGCACUCAAUUGGAAAGAGGAGUGGCGGACGGGUGAGUAACACGUGGGUAACCUACCCAUCAGAGGGGGAUAACACUUGGAAACAGGUGCUAAUACCGCAUAACAGUUUAUGCCGCAUGGCAUAAGAGUGAAAGGCGCUUUCGGGUGUCGCUGAUGGAUGGACCCGCGGUGCAUUAGCUAGUUGGUGAGGUAACGGCUCACCAAGGCCACGAUGCAUAGCCGACCUGGGGGGGUGAACGGACAAACUGGGACUGAGACACGGCCCAAACUCCUAAGGGGGGCAGCAGUAGGGAAUUUUCGGAAAUGGACGAAAGUUUGACCGGGCAAAGGCGGGGGAGGGAAGAAGGUUUUGGGAUCGUAAAACUCUGUUGUUAGAGAAGAACAAGGACGUUAGUAACUGAACGUCCCCUGACGGUAUCUAACCAAAAAGCAACGGCUAACUACGU
rnacentral:rRNA from 1 species